GAUCCUACGGGAGGCAGCAGUGGGGAAUAUUGCACAAUGGGGGAAACCCUGAUGCAGCGACGCCGCGUGAGUGAAGAAGUAUUUCGGUAUGUAAAGCUCUAUCAGCAGGGAAGAAACCCACCCUUUGGGGUGGCUGACGGUACCUGACUAAGAAGCCCCGGCUAACUACGUGCCAGCAGCCGCGGUAAUACGAAGGGGGCAAGCGUUAUCCGGAGAUACUGGGGGUAAAGGGAGCGGAG
rnacentral:rRNA from 1 species